rnacentral:rRNA from 1 species
UACGAAGGGGGCUAGCGUUGCUCGGAAUGACUGGGCGUAAAGGGCGCGUAGGCGGGCUCGCCAGUCCGGGGUGAAAUCUUUCGGCUUAACCGGAAAAGUGCCUCGGAUACUGCGAGCCUUGAGGGAGGUAGGGGCAUGUGGAACUUCCGGUGGAGCGGUGAAAUGCGUUGAUAUCGGAAGGAACGCCGGUGGCGAAAGCGACGUGCUGGCCCUCUUCUGACGCUGAGGCGCGAAAGCCAGGGGAGCAAACGGG